rnacentral:rRNA from 1 species
UGCCAGCAGCCGCGGUAAUACGUAGGGGGCGAGCGUUUUCCACAAGGACUGGGCGUAAAGCGUACGUAGGCGGAUUAAUAAGUUAGAGGUGAAAUCCCAGGGCUCAACCCUGGAACUGCCUUUAAAACUGUUAGUCUUGAGAUCGAGAGAGGUGAGUGGAAUUCCAAGUGUAGAGGUGAAAUUCGUAGAUAUUUGGAGGAACACCAGUGGCGAAGGCGGCUCACUGGCUCGAUACUGACGCUGAGGUACGAAAGUGUGGGGAGCAAACAGGAUUAGAUA